CUCCUCUCUCCCUCCCUCUCCCUCUCUUUCCCGCUUGCAGCCAGAGGAGAACGCGCCGCUUGCCUCCCUCCCGCGUGACCGGCCACUCCCCAGGGCGGCGGUGGGAGAGGUUCGGUGGGUAGGACUUGAAGGAAGUCCUCCUUGUAUUUGCCAAGAUAUUUCCUCUUUGGAGUGAGGAGGGGAUGUUCUGCCUGCUGGAUCCUGCCCCAAGCUCUGGAAAAUCAUUCUGCAAUAUGUUCCCUGCAAUCCUCCCCCAAACCUUUGGAAGCAGAACACACAGAUGC